rnacentral:tRNA from 1 species
AUAGUUUAAUGUAGAAUGCCAGCUUUGGGAGUUGGGGGUAGAGGUUUGAUUCCUCUUUUUCUGAUAGUGGUG